rnacentral:rRNA from 1 species
UUGAAGAGUUUGAUCAUGGCUCAGAUUGAACGCUGGCGGCAGGCCUAACACAUGCAAGUCGAGCGGUAGCACAGAGAGCUUGCUCUCGGGUGACGAGCGGCGGACGGGUGAGUAAUGUCUGGGAAACUGCCUGAUGGAGGGGGAUAACUACUGGAAACGGUAGCUAAUACCGCAUAAUGUCGCAAGACCAAAGUGGGGGACCUUCGGGCCUCAUGCCAUCAGAUGUGCCCAGAUGGGAUUAGCUAGUAGGUGGGGUAACGGCUCACCUAGGCGACGAUCCCUAGCUGGUCUGAGAGGAUGACCAGCCACACUGGAACUGAGACACGGUCCAGACUCCUACGGGAGGCAGCAGUGGGGAAUAUUGCACAAUGGGCGCAAGCCUGAUGCAGCCAUGCCGCGUGUGAAGAAGGCCUUCGGGUUGUAAAGCACUUUCAGCGGGGAGGAAGGCGUUAAGGUUAAUAACCUUGGCGAUUGACGUUACCCGCAGAAGAAGCACCGGCUAACUCCGUGCCAGCAGCCGCGGUAAUACGGAGGGUGCAAGCGUUAAUCGGAAUUACUGGGCGUAAAGCGCACGCAGGCGGUCUGUCAAGUCGGAUGUGAAAUCCCCGGGCUCAACCUGGGAACUGCAUUCGAAACUGGCAGGCUAGAGUCUUGUAGAGGGGGGUAGAAUUCCAGGUGUAGCGGUGAAAUGCGUAGAGAUCUGGAGGAAUACCGGUGGCGAAGGCGGCCCCCUGGACAAAGACUGACGCUCAGGUGCGAAAGCGUGGGGAGCAAACAGGAUUAGAUACCCUGGUAGUCCACGCCGUAAACGAUGUCGAUUUGGAGGUUGUGCCCUUGAGGCGUGGCUUCCGGAGCUAACGCGUUAAAUCGACCGCCUGGGGAGUACGGCCGCAAGGUUAAAACUCAAAUGAAUUGACGGGGGCCCGCACAAGCGGUGGAGCAUGUGGUUUAAUUCGAUGCAACGCGAAGAACCUUACCUGGUCUUGACAUCCACAGAACUUAGCAGAGAUGCUUUGGUGCCUUCGGGAACUGUGAGACAGGUGCUGCAUGGCUGUCGUCAGCUCGUGUUGUGAAAUGUUGGGUUAAGUCCCGCAACGAGCGCAACCCUUAUCCUUUGUUGCCAGCGGUCCGGCCGGGAACUCAAAGGAGACUGCCAGUGAUAAACUGGAGGAAGGUGGGGAUGACGUCAAGUCAUCAUGGCCCUUACGACCAGGGCUACACACGUGCUACAAUGGCAUAUACAAAGAGAAGCGACCUCGCGAGAGCAAGCGGACCUCAUAAAGUAUGUCGUAGUCCGGAUUGGAGUCUGCAACUCGACUCCAUGAAGUCGGAAUCGCUAGUAAUCGUAGAUCAGAAUGCUACGGUGAAUACGUUCCCGGGCCUUGUACACACCGCCCGUCACACCAUGGGAGUGGGUUGCAAAAGAAGUAGGUAGCUUAACCUUCGGGAGGGCGCUUACCACUUUGUGAUUCAUGACUGGGGUGAAGUCGUAACAAGGUAACCGUAGGGGAACCUGCGGUUGGAUCACCUCCUU